GACGAACGCUGGCGGCGUGCCUAAUACAUGCAAGUCGAACGCAGUGGGGACGGGUGAGUAACACGUGGGUAACCUCCCAUCAGAGGGGAUAACACUUGUUAGCAGGUGCUAGACCUAUACUGAUGGAAGGAUCCGCGGUGCAUUAGCUAGUUGGUGAGGUAACGGCUGACCAAGGCAACGAUGCAUAGCCGACCUGAGAGGGUGAUCGGCCACACUGGGACUGAGACACGGCCCAAACUCCUACGGGAGGCAGCAGUAGGGAAUCUUCGGCAAUGGACGAAAGUCUGACCGAGCAACGCCGCGUGAGUGAAGAAGGUUUUCGGAUCGUAAAGCUCUGUUGUUAGAGAAGCGGUAUCUAACCAGAAAGCCACGGCUAACUACGUGCCAGCCGCCGCGGUAAUAC
rnacentral:rRNA from 1 species